rnacentral:rRNA from 1 species
GAUUAACGUUGGCAGUGCGCCUAACACAUGCAAGUCGAGCGAUAUAGCGGCAGACGAGAGAGUAAUAGUAAGGAACUUACCCCCGAGUGAAGGAUAGCCAGCCGAAAGGUUGGGUAAUCCUGCAUAAUAUCGAAAGAUCAAAGCCUUCGGGCGCUUGGGGAGAGGCCUUACUCCUAUCAGCUUGUUGGUGAGGUAAUGGCUCACCAAGGCGAUGACGGGUAGCCGGUCUGAGAGGAUGAUCAGCCUCGAUGGGACUGAGACACGGCCCAUACUCCUACGGGAGGCAGCAGUUGGGGAUUUUGCACAAUGGAGGAAACUCUGAUGCAGCGACACUGCGUGAAGGAUGAAGGUUCUAGGAUCGUAAACUUCUUUUAUCAGGGAGUAAUCUUGAAAGUACCUGAUGAAUAAGGACCGGACUAACUACGUGA